GCUGGGCGUGGUGGUGCAUGCCUGUAAUUCCAGCUCCUUGGGAGGCUGAGACAUGAGAAUUGUUUGAACCCAGGAGGCAGAGGUUGCAGUGAGCAACCUAGAUCAUGCCACAUGCCAACCUAGAUCAUGCUACUGCACUCCAGCCUGGGUGACAGAGCAAGACCUUGUCUCAA
rfam:Homo sapiens chromosome 5, GRCh38 reference primary assembly.